rnacentral:siRNA from 1 species
UGGUCAACGUUUUGAGAUGUAUA